AGUGAACGCUGGCGGUAGGCCUAACACAUGCAAGUCGAACGGCAGCACAGUAAGAGCUUGCUCUUACGGGUGGCGAGUGGCGGACGGGUGAGGAAUACAUCGGAAUCUACUUUUUCGUGGGGGAUAACGUAGGGAAACUUACGCUAAUACCGCAUACGACCUACGGGUGAAAGCAGGGGAUCUUCGGACCUUGCGCGAUUGAAUGAGCCGAUGUCGGAUUAGCUAGUUGGCGGGGUAAAGGCCCACCAAGGCGACGAUCCGUAGCUGGUCUGAGAGGAUGAUCAACCACACUGGAACUGAGACACGGUCCAGACUCCUACGGGAGGCAGCAGUGGGGAAUAUUGGACAAUAGGCGCAAGCCUGAUCCAGCCAUACCGCGUGGGUGAAGAAGGCCUUCGGGUUGUAAAGCCCUUUUGUUGGGAAAGAAAAGCAGCAGGUUAAUACCCCGCUGUUCUGACGGUACCCAAAGAAUAAGCACCGGCUAACUUCGUG
rnacentral:rRNA from 1 species